GACGAACGCUGGCGGCGUGCUUAACACAUGCAAGUCGAACGGAAAGGCCCUGCUUUUGUGGGGUGCUCGAGUGGCGAACGGGUGAGUAACACGUGAGUAACCUGCCCUUGACUUUGGGAUAACUUCAGGAAACUGGGGCUAAUACCGGAUAGGAGCUCCUGCUGCAUGGUGGGGGUUGGAAAGUUUCGGCGGUUGGGGGUGGACUCGCGGCUUAUCAGCUUGUUGGUGGGGUAGUGGCUUACCAAGGCUUUGACGGGUAGCCGGCCUGAGAGGGUGACCGGCCACAUUGGGACUGAGAUACGGCCCAGACUCCUACGGGAGGCAGCAGUGGGGAAUAGUGCACAAUGGGCGGAAGCCUGAUGCAGCAACGCCGCGUGCGGGAUGACGGCCUUCGGGUUGUAAACCGCUUUCGCCUGUGACGAAGCGUGAGUGACGGUAAUGGGUAAAGAAGCACCGGCUAACUACGUG
rnacentral:rRNA from 1 species